UGAAUACUUUUUCCCCUAACCAUUUUGAAUUUAACCAUUUAGGGGCAAAAAUCUUUCCCAAUUCCAUUUUUUCAUAU
rnacentral:tRNA from 1 species